CAAAGUGUAGCUUAACUAAAGCAUCUGGUCUACACCCAGAAGAUUUCAUUAUAAUGACCGCUUUGA
rnacentral:tRNA from 1 species